rnacentral:rRNA from 1 species
GUGAGGAAUUUUCCGCAAUGGGCGAAAGCCUGACGGAGCAAUGCCGCGUGAAGGAUGAAGGCCUAUGGGUUGUAAACUUCUUUUCUCAGAAAAGAAUUAUGACGGUAUCUGAGGAAUAAGCAUCGGCUAACUCUGUGCCAGCAGCCGCGGUAAGACAGAGGAUGCAAGCGUUAUCCGGAAUGAUUGGGCGUAAAGCGUCUGUAGGUUGUUUAAAAAGUAUUCUGUCAAAGAUUAGGGCUUAACCCUAGAUAGGCAGAAUAAACUUUUAAGCUAGAGUUUGGUAGAGGCAGAGGGAAUUCCCGGUGGAGCGGUGAAAUGCGUAGAUAUCGGGAGGAACACCAAAGGCGAAGGCACUCUGCUGGGCCAAUACUAACACUGAGAGACGAAAGCGAGGGGAGCAAAUGGGAUUAGAAAACCCGGUAGUCC